rnacentral:lncRNA from 1 species
CCAACAACCCAUUUCUUACUCAUAGAUAAAUUCUAAAAUCUCAAUUUACUAUAACUAAUACCAUUCUUCAUCACCCAUAAUAUUAAAAACAUCCCUAUAAAAUGAUUAAUACUCCACAACCCAAACCUGUAAUCGUUCAUUCUUUUCUAUCAGACCCAUCAACUCAUAUCUCAUGAACAUAGAGUCAAUAAUCAUUAAUCCAAUGCUAUAAUUAAUUAUAGGGUUAAUACAUUACCUUUUUGAAGUCCAACCCUCUUGAAUUCGAGUUCUAGGGUUUCGUUUUUCAACCAUGAUGUCCCAAUCAAAUAUAUAAUAAUUUGAAGGGUUUACCCACGUUAAUAAGGUUUUUGGAAAUUGAAAUUGACUUAGAGGCACCAUCAGAACUUACAUUAGAUGAGAAAGGGACUUGUAGGAGUUGGAUUCUUGAG